rnacentral:rRNA from 1 species
CCUACGGGGUGCUGCAGUGGGGAAUAUUGGACAAUGGGCGAAAGCCUGAUCCAGCCAUGCCGCGUGUGUGAAGAAGGCCUUCGGGUUGUAAAGCACUUUCAGUGGGGAAGAAAGCCUUGGGGCUAAUACCCUCGAGGAAGGACAUCACCCACAGAAGAAGCACCGGCUAACUCCGUGCCAGCAGCCGCGGUAAUACGGAGGGUGCGAGCGUUAAUCGGAAUUACUGGGCGUAAAGCGCGCGUAGGCGGUCUGAUAAGCCGGUUGUGAAAGCCCCGGGCUCAACCUGGGAACGGCAUCCGGAACUGUCAGGCUAGAGUGCAGGAGAGGAAGGUAGAAUUCCCGGUGUAGCGGUGAAAUGCGUAGAGAUCGGGAGGAAUACCAGUGGCGCAGGCGGCCUUCUGGACUGACACUGACGCUGAGGUGCGAAAGCGUGGGUAGCAAACAGGAUUAGAUACCCUGGUAGUC